UACGAAGGGGGCUAGCGUUGCUCGGAAUCACUGGGCGUAAAGGGUGCGUAGGCGGGUCUUUAAGUCAGGGGUGAAAUCCUGGAGCUCAACUCCAGAACUGCCUUUGAUACUGAAGAUCUUGAGUCCGGGAGAGGUGAGUGGAACUGUGAGUGUAGAGGUGAAAUUCGUAGAUAUUCGCAAGAACACCAGUGGCGAAGGCGGCUCACUGGCCCGGUACUGACGCUGAGGUGCGAAAGCUAGGGGAGCGAACAGG
rnacentral:rRNA from 1 species